AUGAGGCAGGUAGCAAGCCCCCGGAUGCGAUUCAGUUGACGACGGAGCAGGCCUCAUGUGUCGCAGCGCUCGGCGGGCAGCGCGGAUUGUUCCUGAGAGGUCCGGCAGAGAGUCAAUAGUGGGCAGGCGCACGAUAUACCGGCCGUCUGGAGAGCGAGUAUGAUGUCGGCGAUAGUGCUCUUCGCACUCCAGUUCGGCCUUGGUGAGGAUCGGAGAUGGCCUACGAACUUCCUCCUGCUCCCAGAACCGCCGAACCAAGCAGGUGAUGUCCUCCUCGAUUUGGCAAUGGCCCUCGCGGAUGAUUACUCCGUAGACGUCGGCGCCCAGCAGAAGAUCUACUGGAUCCGCGGAACGGAAUUCUGGAUCGGCGAGCUCCAGGUCCUUAAGAUGGGUCCAGGACUGCAGACUUUGGCGGCAUCCUCCGGCGAAGAGAGUGAGCUUCGGCAGGAUCAAGGCGGCGACGGAGUUGGACUGGUCGCCGUUGUGCGCUCUAAAACUUUCUUCACGUGAUGGCUCCGAGUUGUUUUUGCACUGCUAAGGUUGCGGCUGUCGUUCUUGGCUGGAAACAGUGCCUCCAAAGUAUGAAGCCGUCGCUCGAUGAAGGCUUCCAGCUCGGCGUAAGUAGGCGGGUUGGUCGUGUGACUGAUGACGCUCUCCCAUUCCCGACGAGAACGAUUGUCGAGGAGCUCGACGACCAGAUGCACAAAGAGGUCCUCCGUGCGAUCGAUGGGACGAUCGAUACUCUUCAGCGAGCUGACUGUGGUUUUUACGCCGUGAAAGAGUCGCCCCAGUUCCACUGCGGAUUCGCUCUUCAUCUUAGGAAGCGCCAGGAAGUUGUUGAGGUCUGGCUGCCUGGUUCCUGCCAAUGAUGGACUGGAAGAGGUCUCGGAACGAAGGCCAGUCUUCGUACUUCCCGGUGAAGGUCGGCGGUUGAAUCUUAGGCAAUGCGGUCCGAGGAGCGGCGGCCGGUGUCGCUGCCGAACUUGGUCUGGAUGUAUGCUCUUGUCGUUGGAGAGCGCUCUUCAGAUCGAGCAUGAGGCCCUUGUUCUGCAGCUUCUCGAGGUUUUGAAGCCGGGCCUCCACCGCGCCGAGGGUGAUAUUGGCCUCGCCGAGCUUCCGAAGGUUCUCGUACGCGCGCGAGAUUUUGCCGUAUAGCACUGUGGCUGUGGCAAUGAUUGCCUUAGUGUCUGUCAUGUCUAAAACUGUUUCUCUUUUCUAGGAGCACUGGUCACCGACACUGAUUCACUAUCGCUUCCGUGGCACCGGAUUCAAGGGAGGUUCCUGAGGAAUCCGGCUCGAAGGACCAAAAAUGUGCGCGAC